UCGGCGGCCCCUAGUACGGGGGGCCCCCCAGGCGCAACACCUUCCUCCGCGCGAACGUGCGAUACGGGGUCUCCGAGUGUGAGGGCACACAGUCCUCGCUAUUGUGUACCGUAGGGUGGCACACGCCCAAGAGCUGGGCAAGACCGGUGCCAGCCGCCGCGGUAAUACCGGCAGCUCGAGUGAUGGCCGAUUUUAUUGGGCCUAAAGCGUCCGUAGCUGGCCCUGCAAGUCCGUCGGGAAAUCCACUCGCCUAACGAGUGGGCGUCCGGCGGAAACUCCAGGGCUUGGGACCGGAAGACUUGAGGGGUACGUCUGGGGUAGGAGUGAAAUCCUGUAAUCCUGGACGGACCGCCGAUAGCGAAAGCACCUCAAGACGACGGAUCCGACAGUGAGGGACGAAAGCUAGGGUCUCGAACCGGAUUAGAUACCCGGGUAGUCCUAGCUGUAAACGAUGUUCGCUAGAUGUGGCACAGGCUACGUGCCUGUGCUGUGUCGUAGGGAAGCCGAGAAGCGAACCGCCUGGGAAGUACGUCCGCAAGGAUGAAACUUAAAGGAAUUGGCGGGGGAGCAC
rnacentral:rRNA from 2 species